GAUGAGGUGACCGAGUGGUUAAGGUGAUGGAUUGAUAAUCUGUUGUGUUCUACACGCAUUGGUUCAAAUCCCAUCCUCAUCG